GAGUCGAAGUCGUUCAUGUGAGAUAAAGUUAAAAUUAAUCUUAAGAUAAAGUCAAAGUUAAAAAUCUCUAAUAUUCAAAUUCCUUUUGUCGCUUCCGACCGUCGUCAUCUGGACUUUGUGUGAUGCUGCACCAUCGUCACAACUCUACUUCUGUCACCGUCUCCGGUCAUUUCUCCAGGGUCUUCUGCCUUUUUCAAUCGGCUUGAGUUGCAUUUACAAAUCAGGAGUUGUAACUGCUUGAUGCUUCUGUAUCUCUUCAGAAGGAACACUACCAUCAGAACCAACUUGCAUCCAAGCAUUGGGCUCUUCAACACUUGACUCUGAACUUGUGAAUCGUAUCUAGAACAUUCUUGAGUUUGCAAAGAGCUUCAAGUAUUGUAAUUCUUCCUUCAGGAGAGUCAUUGGUGCAAGAAAGCGCAACUGCUAUGACCGUUGUGAUACAAUCAAGCUGUAUCUUCGGGUUCAAGAGUUGAGGAUCUGAGCAUGACCCUUCAUCUUUAUCAAGCAUAUGAAUAUCCACAACUUGAUCCAAGUUAGCCGGGAAAGCAGACUGCACCCAUGUCUUGAGGCUUAGACCACCCACAAACAUCUCAUCUGUCGGGCUCUUCUCGGUGAAAAUCUCCAACAGCAUAAUGCCGUAACUGUACACAUCUCCUUUCGUUGAUGGUUUUGCUCCCAUACCAUACUCUGUAUUUAAUGUCAAUAUAAGAUGUUAAUGUAAAAUGCAUGUCCUUAUUCA